AUUGAACGCUGGCGGCAGGCCUAACACAUGCAAGUCGAGCGGCAGCGGGAAGUAGCUUGCUACUUUGCCGGCGAGCGGCGGACGGGUGAGUAAUGUCUGGGAAACUGCCUGAUGGAGGGGGAUAACUACUGGAAACGGUAGCUAAUACCGCAUAACGUCGCAAGACCAAAGAGGGGGACCUUCGGGCCUCUUGCCAUCAGAUGUGCCCAGAUGGGAUUAGCUAGUAGGUGGGGGAACGGCUCACCUAGGCGACGCUCCCUAGCUGGUCGGAGAGGAUGACCAGCCAAACUGGAACUGAGACACGGUCCAGACUCCUACGGGAGGCAGCAGUGGGGAAUAUUGCACAAUGGGCGCAAGCCUGAUGCAGCCAUGCCGCGUGUAUGAAGAAGGCCUUCGGGUUGUAAAGUACUUUCAGCGGGGAGGAAGGUGUUGUGGUUAAUAACCACAGCAAUUGACGUUACCCGCAGAAGAAGCACCGGCUAACUCCGUGCCAGCCGCCGCGGUAAUAC
rnacentral:rRNA from 1 species